GGGCGUGUGCCCGAGUGGCCAAAGGGGACGGGCUGUAAACCCGUUGGCGUGAGCCUUCGUUGGUUCGAAUCCAACCGCGCCCA
rnacentral:tRNA from 1 species